rnacentral:rRNA from 1 species
UACGAAGGGGGCUAGCGUUGUUCGGAAUUACUGGGCGCAAAGCGCGUGUAGGCGGGCCGUUAAGUCGGGGGUGAAAGCCCAGAGAUCAACUCUGGAAUUGCCUUCGAUACUGGCGGCCUUGAGCAUGAUAGAGGCGAGUGGAAUUGCGAGUGUAGAGGUGAAAUUCGUAGAUAUUCGCAGGAACACCAGUGGCGAAGGCGACUCGCUCGAUCAUUGCUGACGCUGUGACUCGAAAGCGUGGGGAGCAAACAGG